rnacentral:rRNA from 1 species
AUUGAACGCUGGCGGCAUGCCUUACACAUGCAAGUCGAACGAACUCUUCGGAGUUAGUGGCGGACGGGUGAGUAACACGUGGGAACGUGCCUUUAGGUUCGGAAUAACUCAGGGAAACUUGUGCUAAUACCGAAUGUGCCCUUCGGGGGAAAGAUUUAUCGCCUUUAGAGCGGCCCGCGUCUGAUUAGCUAGUUGGUGAGGUAAAGGCUCACCAAGGCGACGAUCAGUAGCUGGUCUGAGAGGAUGAUCAGCCACAUUGGGACUGAGACACGGCCCAAACUCCUACGGGAGGCAGCAGUGGGGAAUCUUGCGCAAUGGGCGAAAGCCUGACGCAGCCAUGCCGCGUGAAUGAUGAAGGUCUUAGGAUUGUAAAAUUCUUUCACCGGGGACGAUAAUGACGGUACCCGGAGAAGAAGCCCCGGCUAACUUCGUGCCAGCAGCCGCAGUAA